UACGUAGGGUGCAAGCGUUGUCCGGAAUUAUUGGGCGUAAAGAGCUCGUAGGCGGUCUGUCGCGUCGGCUGUGAAAACCCGGAGCUCAACUCCGGGCCUGCAGUCGAUACGGGCAAACUGGAGUGUUGCAGGGGAGACUGGAAUUCCUGGUGUAGCGGUGAAAUGCGCAGAUAUCAGGAGGAACACCGGUGGCGAAGGCGGGUCUCUGGGCAUUAACUGACGCUGAGGAGCGAAAGCAUGGGGAGCGAACAGG
rnacentral:rRNA from 1 species